UCUGUAAAGUUCUUUCGACGAGUCGAGUAGUUUGGGAAUGCUGCUCUAAAUGGGAGGUAUAUGUCUUCUAAAGCUAAAUACCGGCCAGAGACCGAUAGCGCACAAGUAGAGUGAUCGAAAGAUGAAAAGCACUUUGAAAAGAGAGUUAAAAAGUACGUGAAAUUGUUGAAAGGGAAGCGUUUAUGACCAGACUUGGGCUUGGUUAAUCAUCUGGGGUUCUCCCCAGUGCACUUUUCCAGUCCAGGCCAGCAUCAGUUUUCGCCGGGGGAUAAAGACUUCGGGAAUGUGGCUCUCUUCGGGGAGUGUUAUAGCCCGUUGUGUAAUACCCUGGCGGGGACUGAGGUUCGCGCAUCUGCAAGGAUGCUGGCGUAAUGGUCAUCAACGACCCGUCUUGAAACACGGACCAAGGAGUCGUCUUCGUAUGCGAGUGUUCGGGUGUCAAACCCCUACGCGUAAUGAAAGUGAACGCAGGUGAGAGCUUCGGCGCAUCAUCGACCGAUCCUGAUGUUCUCGGAUGGAUUUGAGUAAGAGCAUACGGGGCCGGACCCGAAAGAAGGUGAACUAUGCCUGUAUAGGGUGAAGCCAGAGGAAACUCUGGUGGAGGCUCGCAGCGGUUCUGACGUGCAAAU
rnacentral:rRNA from 1 species